UCUUACCAAUGACUUGUAGGAA
rnacentral:piRNA from 1 species